UACAUGGGGUGCAAACGUUGCUCGGAAUCAUUGGGCGUAAAGCGCGUGUAGGCGGCUUUGCAAGUCGGAUGUGAAAGCCCACGGCUCAACCGUGGAAGUGCAUCCGAAACUGCAUGGCUCGAGUCUCGGAGAGGAAGGUGGAAUGCUUGGUGUAGAGGUGAAAUUCGUAGAUAUCAAGCAGAACACCUGCGGCGAAGGCGGCCUUCUGGACGAUGACUGACGCUGAGACGCGAAAGCGUGGGGAGCAAACAGG
rnacentral:rRNA from 1 species